rnacentral:rRNA from 1 species
AGAGUUUGAUCCUGGCUCAGGACGAACGCUGGCGGCGUGCCUAAUACAUGCAAGUAGAACGCUGAAGACUUUAGCUUGCUAAAGUUGGAAGAGUUGCGAACGGGUGAGUAACGCGUAGGUAACCUGCCUACUAGCGGGGGAUAACUAUUGGAAACGAUAGCUAAUACCGCAUAACAGCAUUUAACUCAUGUUAGAUGCUUGAAAGGAGCAAUUGCUUCACUAGUAGAUGGACCUGCGUUGUAUUAGCUAGUUGGUGAGGUAACGGCUCACCAAGGCGACGAUACAUAGCCGACCUGAGAGGGUGAUCGGCCACACUGGGACUGAGACACGGCCCAGACUCCUACGGGAGGCA